rnacentral:rRNA from 1 species
GUACUACAAUGGGAGUUAAUAGACGGAAGCGAAACCGCGAGGUGGAGCAAACCCGAGAAACACUCUCUCAGUUCGGAUCGUAGGCUGCAACUCGCCUACGUGAAGUCGGAAUCGCUAGUAAUCGCAGGUCAGCAUACUGCGGUGAAUACGUUCCCGGGCCUUGUACACACCGCCCGUCACACCACGAAAGUCGGAAGUGCCCAAAGCCGGUGGGGUAACCUUCGGGAGCCAGCCGUCUAAGGUAAA